GUCAGUAUGAUGCAGUGGUUUGAGCACUGGACUAUGGUUCUGGAGAUCAGGGUUCGAUUCUCCUCUUGACC
rnacentral:tRNA from 1 species